rnacentral:rRNA from 1 species
UACGUAGGGGGGCAAGCGUUGUCCGGAUUUAUUGGGCGUAAAGAGCGUGUAGGCGGCCAGACAAGUCCGUUGUGAAAACUAGAGGCUUAAACCUCCUAGACGUCGAUGGGAAACUGUUUGGCUAGAGUCCGGAAAGAGGAGAAUGGAAUUCCUGGUGUAGCGGUGAAAUGCGCAGAUAUCGGGAGGAACACCCAAUGGCGAAGGC